GAUAAUUAGUUUAAUAAAAAUUAAUGAUUUCGACUCAUUAGACCAUGGCCCCUACCAUGAUUAUCA
rnacentral:tRNA from 1 species